AACGAGACCUUCGGGUCUAGUGGCGCACGGGUGCGUAACGCGUGGGAAUCUGCCCUUGGUCGGAAUAACAGCCGAGAAAUUGCUGCUAAUACCGUAUGAUGUCGAAAGACCAAAGAUUUAUCGCCUAAGGAUGAGCCCGCGUAAGAUUAGCUUGUUGGUGAGGUAAAAGCUCACCAAGGCGACGANCUUUAGCUGGUCUGAGAGGAUGAUCAGCCACACUGGGACUGAGACACGGCCCCAGACUCCUACGGGAGGCAGCAGUGGGGAAUAUUGGACAAUGGGCGAAAGCCUGAUCCAGCAAUGCCGCGUGAGUGAUGAAGGCCUUAGGGUUGUAAAGCUCUUUACCAGGGAUGAUAAUGACAGUACCUGGAGAAUAAGCUCCGGCUAACUCCGUG
rnacentral:rRNA from 1 species